ensembl:snRNA U6 U6 spliceosomal RNA
GUCGCGUCUACUAAAAUUGGAACGAUAUGGAGAAGAUUAGCAUGGCCCAUGCGCAAGGAAUACUUGUCUUUCUACACUAAAAUAGUGGAAUAUU